rnacentral:rRNA from 1 species
CCUACGGGUGGCAGCAGUGGGGAAUAUUGGGCAAUGGACGCAAGUCUGACCCAGCAACGCCGCGUGAAGGAAGAAGGCUUUCGGGUUGUAAACUUCUUUUAUGGGGGACGAGCAGAAGACGGUACCCCUUGAAUAAGCCACGGCUAAAUACGUUCCAGCAGCCGCCGUAAUACGUAGGUGGAAAGCGUUGUGCGGAUUUACUGGGUGUAAAGGGCGUGCAGCCGGAGAGACAAGUCAGAUGUGAAAGCCACGGGCUCAACCCGUGAACUGCAUUUGAAACUGUUUCCCUUGAGUGUCGGAGAGGUAAUCGGAAUUCCGAGUGUAGCGGUGAAAUGCGUAGAUAUUAGGAGGAACACCAGUGGCGAAGGCGGAUUACUGGACGAUAACUGACGGUGAGGCGCGAAAGCGUGGGGAGCAAACAGGAUUAGAUACCCUUGUAGUC